rnacentral:rRNA from 1 species
AAAGCACUUUCAGUAGGGAGGAACGGGUAGUGUAGUUAACACCUGCAUUACUUUGACGUUACCUACAGAAGAAGCACCGGCUAACUCCGUGCCAGCAGCCGCGGGUAAUACGGAGGGUGCGAGCGUUAAUCGGAAAUUACUGGGCGUAAAGCGCAUGCAGGCGGCCUGUUAAGUCAGAUGUGAAAGCCCGGGGCUUAACCUCGGAAUUGCAUUUGAAACUGGCAGGCUAGAGUCUUGUAGAGGGGGGUAGGAAUUUCAGGUGUAGCGGUGAAAUGCGUAGAGAUCUGAAGGAAUACCAGUGGCGAAGGCGGCCCCCUGGACAAAGACUGACGCUCAGAUGCGAAAGCGUAGGGGACGUCCAAACAGGAUUAGACUACCCCUGGUAG